CUUGCCAUCUCCUCUUUCCUGAAGUUUCCUCCGUUUUUCCUUCCCUGCCAUCUCUGUCUGUUUGGUCGCGUUUCCGGCACUGACUCGUCACCACCUGUGGCUCAUCCAGUAAUCAUCCUUUGCAGUGAAAUACUCAUCUUCCACUCCUCGCUAGUUCUAACCUCCUGUGUGUCGAGACCCUGCCUCCCUGUCAACCUGUCCGCCUGCUCUGAACCGUGUUCUUUGGACGCCACCAUCUAUCCGAUGCCGAGUCUGGAAUUCCCCCACUUCCUCCCCAACCACCAUGUUUUCAUUGUGCACUUUAUUUGUGAAUAAAGCUGCUUGAGUA